UGGGGAAUCUUGCGCAAUGGGCGAAAGCCUGACGCAGCGACGCCGCGUGAGGGAUGAAGGCCCUCGGGUUGUAAACCUCUUUCGGCAGGGAAGAAGCGAAAGUGACGGUACCUGCAGAAGAAGCCCCGGCUAACUACGUGCCAGCAGCCGCGGUAAGACGUAGGGGGCGAGCGUUGUCCGGAUUUAUUGGGCGUAAAGAGCGCGUAGGCGGUUCGGAAAGUCGGAUGUGAAAACCCAGGGCUCAACCCCGGGCCUGCAUCCGAUACUCCCGAGCUGGAGGCAGACAGGGGAGAGUGGAAUUCCUGGUGUAGCGGUGAAAUGCGCAGAUAUCAGGAGGAACACCGGUGGCGAAGGCGGCUCUCUGGGUCUGUCCUGACGCUGAGGCGCGAAAGCUAGGGGAGCAAACAG
rnacentral:rRNA from 1 species